rnacentral:rRNA from 1 species
GACGAACGCUGGCGGCGUGCUUAACACAUGCAAGUCGAACGGAAAGGCCUCAGCUUGCUGGGGUACUCGAGUGGCGAACGGGUGAGUAACACGUGGGUGAUCUGCCUUGCACUCUGGGAUAAGCUUGGGAAACUGGGUCUAAUACCGGAUAUGAACUGCCUUUAGUGUGGUGGUUGGAAAGUUUUUUCGGUGCAAGAUGAGCUCGCGGCCUAUCAGCUUGUUGGAGGGGUAAUGGCCUACCAAGGCGUCGACGGGUAGCCGGCCUGAGAGGGUGUACGGCCACAUUGGGACUGAGAUACGGCCCAGACUCCUACGGGAGGCAGCAGUGGGGAAUAUUGCACAAUGGGCGGAAGCCUGAUGCAGCGACGCCGCGUGGGGGAUGACGGCCUUCGGGUUGUAAACUCCUUUCGACAGGGACGAAGCUUUUUGUGACGGUACCUGUAUAAGAAGCACCGGCUAACUACGUG